ensembl:lncRNA
GUAAGUGCCAUCAUAUGCUAUUUGUCUUUCUCCUUCUGACUCAAGUCCCUUAGGAUAAUCAUCUUUAGCUGCACCCAGAAGUGGCUUACUCUUCACACAAGACUUGUGUUGUUCAGUUCAUCAGGUCGGGGACCACUGAUCCGUUUCUCCCGGUAGAACUGGCCCACACCAGUCGACGAUGGAGACGUCCACAGUGCAGACUGGUCUACACCAAAGCUGAGACAUCUUCCCACCUGCGGGGCUGCCAACAACGAGGCUGGACAGAGGAAACAGGGCUGAGAGUUCGGAAUGGAUGAGGAGCAGAGCAGCAGCCUCUUGGUCUUGGAGUCUAGCUCUGACGCUCACAGUCCCAGGGAGACGCCCCAGCACCUCAUCUCCUCAGAGUCUUGGGGGCUCUGACGUCAAUGAGGGUCCUCGCAGCAGCGCCCUUCUGAGGAAAAUCUGAAUCUCCUUCCAGCCAUCUGGUGGCCUCGGACAACAUCUUUCCCAGCUUCCCUGCUGCUGAGGACACACGAGGAGCAGACGGCGGAUGCCAAGUAGAGUCUCCACAGUCAGUUGGUGAGAAAUGCCAGACAAGCCGUGUCAUCUGGGGUACAUGAAAGUCUCGCCCUGGAAGGGACACCACAGGAAACAGCAGCCUCCGUGGAGCCAAGAGGGGGGCGCAGGAUCACCUUUGGGGAGGAGGGAGCUAGUCCUGGGCCUGCGUCCCCGCCACCAGGCUCACCGUCCUCAUCCUGCGGCCUCGCUCUGUCCACGGGCCAGGACUCACUGUAACUUCAUGGUUUUGCUGACUGCCAGCUGCCUUGUCCUUCCUAUUCCCACACCCACGGCCACGUGUGGCCCCCUGGCUGUAGUUCACCUGCCCUCUCCCAGCCCCAGCCCACACAAGGGGAUGGAGAGGGGUGGGGAGAGAGGGGAGGCGCAGAGGGAAGGGCUGCUUCAGUGCCAGGCGCCUGUGAUGGACCCAGAGGAGACUGGAAGGGCGGGAAGAACCCAGGGUGGGGCCGGGCGUCCCAUGAAGCCACCCAGCUGUGAACUCAGGGUCCUGGCAGAACCUCGUCCUGUAGAUUUCAAAGCUCAGGGGGCUGGUGGGUACAGACCCAGGGUGACACUCUACAAUCCGUGAGCUGCAGGCACUAGUCACAUUAGAACCCCUAAAGCACUGCUAUGCUCCACAGCUUUACUUUGCAAAGGGAGAUCUGAGGCAAAGGACCUGAGCUUUCUCUGGCAUACAUUUUGAAUUGCACUAAAAUUGGGAGAUUUUUCCCUUUCUAUUCACAGCCUGUCCCGAAAGGAUAAACACCUCAAGAAAGAUCAGUAGCUUUGGGACGCUGUGCAGUGGGAACAUUAUCAUUCAAAACUUAUGCUUCUUCCACCUGCCAAUGCAGGGGUAUGGUUUCGAACCCUGGUCCAGGAAGAUCCCACAUGCCUCAGGGCAACUAAGCCCGUGAGCUGCAGUGCCUAAGCUCGCUCACCAUAGACCCCGUGCUCUGCAACCAAAGAAACCACCACGAUGAGAAGCCCAUGAACCACGAGAGUAGCCCCAGCUCGCUGCAACUAAGAAAACCCGAACACAGCAACCAAGACCCAGCGCACCAAAAACAAAUACAGAAACCAUUUUUUAAAAGUGUGAUUCUUUGUUCCCAAGCGAGUCUCUUUUCAAAGAUAUUUAUAACUUAUUUAAUGUUAAAAUAAACACA